GCCCAAAUCAGGCCGUCUGGUCACCCUAUCCCAGUGGGGCCCACGGGUGGGCAGGCAACUACUCUUGAAGCCUAAGAGGGAUCUGUGUUGGCGGCAGGUGAUUCCCUUUUCCAGAAUGUCUUUAUUCUUCUGUCACUGCGAAUGAUCAGGAAUGAAUUUAUGGUGGAGAAGGCUCUUCACGAGCAGAGGUGACUUUUCUUUCAUGUUGACUAAAAUGCUCAGCAUGAUGGUCUGCUUUCUAUAGAAGGACGUAGAGGGAGACCAAAGUGAUGACUCUCUUGGCCGCUCUGACUUCAGGCAUUGUCCUGGUGGGGCGUCUGGGCUCAUGUAGGUGCUGAACCUGCCGGUGGUGUCUGUGCAGGACAAACACCAUGUAGCUGCUGGCCAUGCUUAUGAGACCCACAAAGAACAGAUCCCGGAAAGAGAGCAUGACUGUAUUGGCCAAGGUAGUUUUUGCACUUUUGAUGACUUUGAAGCAAUAUUUGAGAUCCAAUAUGGCUCGAAUAUUGCCACUGUUGUUCUGGGGGCUUCUCGUGUAUAUCAGUACAUCCAAUUCUACGAGCAGAUUGAUGACUCAGGAGAGGGCACAGUAGGGAAGGAUGCACUUGGGCAAUUUGGCUUUGAUUCUUGCCCACCAGGAGGUGCUGGGACUGGUGGUGAUGGCCUGGAAGAUGCUCAGGAGGCAGGUGGUGCAGAUGCAAAGACACCGGGCUACUCGGUAAAGAGACCUUGGCCAGAAGGGGAUCCAGUCCAAUGCCGAGGGGCCUCUACCUCAAAGGUCCUGGGAAUGGGAAGAUGGGAGCCCUGGGAGAAGGUUCUUCAUUGGUGAUCAGCCCGAGACCCCACCCCGGAACACGAGUCUGAAGCCCCAGAGUUCCUUUGGAAAAACCCAAAAGAGCACCAACAGAAAAAGUUGUCUUUAUCCUACUCACCUAUUUCCACCAGUCAGGCUGGCUAGGAGGGCAGCUUGUGGGCAGUCAGACUCUGGCAGGACAAAGUUGAGGCAGCAUUUAUCAGUCACUUUCCUCAUCUUUCCCCUCCCUCAGAGAGUGAUUAGUAUGUUUGUGCGUGUGUGUGUGUGACUCACUGAUCAUUAAUCCACUCUGACAGGGGCCUGGAGCAUCCCUGGAAAUGCCCUGGCUCCCCUUCUUUUUAUCCUCAGUGCUGGGAGACAGUGAAUCCAGAUCUCUCCCCUAAAUUACCUGCUGCUAAUUGACCUUCAGAGGUGUCCAUAGAAAGAUGUGACAUUCCCAGUGCAAUAUUCAGCGUCCCAGGAACAUUCCAGCUCCCACCCACAUCUUUGCCAGGACCCAAGCCCCGUCUUCUGUAAUCUUAUUUCCGUGGUUCGUAUUUCCUAUCCUCUUCCAUCCAUCAACAUACCAGUAAUAUUUAUUUUGCUGGUAGUGUGUGCUGAUCACUGUACUAAGUGCUUGGAAGAGUACAGUUCAGUGGAGUUGGUAGGCAUGAUCCCUAUCCACAAGGAGUUUACAGACUAUAAAGGGAGAAAAUCAUUAAAAUAUGUGGCAAGAGGAUAUUUAUAUGUCACAUAUGACAGGGUGAAAAUCAAAGUGUUGAAGGGGUUCAGGCCCAAAUGAUAAAUAGGACAGGGUGAAUAAAAUUCGUGAGGGCAUAGUCAAGGGAGGUCUCUGGGAGAAAUUGUGGUUUUAGACUGGGUUUGAAGGUAGGGGAAGUAGUCAUCCAUUCAAUAGGAAAAGAAAUAAUAAUAAUAAUAAUAAUAAUGGUAUUUGUUAAGCCCUUACUAUGUGCCAGGCACUGUUUUAAGCCCUGGGGUAGAUACAGGGUUAUCAGGUUGUCCUAUGUGGGGCUCACAGUCUUAAUCCCCAUUUUGCAGAUGAAGUAACUGAGGCACAGAGAAGUUAAGUGACUUGCCCAAAGUAACAGCUAAGUUGUGGAGACGGGAUUUGAACCCACAACCUCUGACUCCCAAGCCUGUGCUCUUUCCACUAAGCCAUUCUGCUUCACUAAGGAAGGGAGCUCCAAAUCAAGAGGGAGGAUGUGGGCAGAAAGUUGGCAGUGAAAAAGACAAAAUUGCAGAACAGUAAAUUGGUAUUGCUGGAGCAGAGCGUACGGGCUGGGCUAUAGUGAGAGACCAGUGAGGUCAAAGGCUCUGGGAAUAGGAAAGAGGGAGCCCUGGGAGAAGGUUCUUUAGGGCUGACCAAGCCCCGACCCCCACCUCGUAGAUCAAAUCCAAAGCUCCAGAGUUCCUAUGGAAAGCCAAAAACCACACUCUCAGAGAAAGAUGAUUUUAUCCUGCUUAUCCAUUUCCAUCACUCAUGCUGGCCAGGAGGGCUGCUUGCAGGCAGUCAGACUCAGGCUGGACAAAGUUGAGGCAGCAUUUUAUCAGCCACUUUCCUCAUCUUUUCCCACCCUCGGGGAGUGAUGUAUGUUUGCUGUGUGUGUGUAUGUGAGUGUGAGAGAGAGAGAAUCACUAAUCCGCUCUAAGACUCAGACUGGGACAUCACUGGAAAUGCUCAGAAUCUGCUCCCUGCUGCCCAUCAAACUGAGACAAGAUGAGCAAGGUGUGCCCCAUAAUAACCUGCUGCUAAUUGACCCUCUGAGAUGCCCAUAGAGAGACAUGUCAACAUCAGUACCGUAUCCUGCAGCUCCGGGAAAAUCCCGGCUCUCAUCCACAACCCAGCACUGCCUGGAGCCAAGGCUAGGUCUCUUAUGAUAUCAUUUCAUUGGUUCAGACUUCCCAUCCUCUUACAUCAGUCAAUAAAUCAAUGUUAUUUACUGUGUGUUGAAUGUAUGCAGGGCACUUUAUAGAGAAUAAUAAUAAUGGUAUUUGUUAAGCACUUACUCUGUGCCAAGCGCUGGGGUAGCUGCAGGGUAAUCAGGUUGUCCCACAUGGGGUUCACAAUCCUAAUCCCCAUUUUACAGGUGAGGUAACUGAGGGAUAGAUAAGUGAAGUGACUUGCUCAAGGUCACACAGCGGACAGGUGGUGGAGCCGGGAUUAGAACCCAAGUCCUCUGAUUCCCCAGCCCGUGCUUUUACUAAUAGGCCAUGCUGCUUCUCAGAGAAUUAUAUGAUAGAAUUGGUAGGCAUGAUCUAUGCCCAUAGGGAGUUUACAGUUUAGAGGGGAAGGCAGGCAAUUAAAUAAGUAACAUAUGCCUAUGUACACAAGUGAUCUGGGAUGGGGUAAAAUACAAGGUGUUUAGGGGAUAUAGAUCCGAAUG
rnacentral:lncRNA from 1 species